AUUGAACGCUGGCGGCAGGCCUAACACAUGCAGGUCGAGCGGUAACACAGAGAGCUCGCUCUCGGGUGACGAGCGGCGGACGGGUGAGUAAUGUCUGGGAAACUGCCUGAUGGAGGGGGAUAACUACUGGAAACGGUAGCUAAUACCGCAUAACGUCGCAAGACCAAAGAGGGGGACCUUCGGGCCUCUUGCCAUCAGAUGUGCCCAGAUGGGAUUAGCUAGUAGGUGGGGUAACGGCUCACCUAGGCGACGAUCCCUAGCUGGUCGGAGAGGAUGGCCAUCCAGACUGGAACUGAGACACGGUCCAGAAUCCUACGGGAGGCAGCAGUGGGGAAUAUUGCACAAUGGGCGAAAGCCUGAUGCAGCCAUGCCGCGUGUAUGAAGAAGGCCUUCGGGUUGUAAAGUACUUUCAGCGGGGAGGAGGGCGAUAAGGUUAAUAACCUUGUCGAUUGACGUUACCCGCAGAAGAAGCACCGGCUAACUCCGUGCCAGCAGCCGCGGUAACAC
rnacentral:rRNA from 1 species